GGCUCCCUCUCCGUUUCCGAUUUGGGACUAUCCUUGCGUCGCUAUAGUGUUUUGGCGCUAUAGUAACCCGAAUUCAGUCCGACCCAUGGGCUAGGAUGUCACAUACACCCACGUCACAUACACCCACCCUAAAGAACUCGACAUCCUCGUCGAGCUAUCAAACUAGCUUACUCUCACGGGACAAGGAUUCAGGAACGACUUUCCUAGGCCCACUCUACAUGUUGAAUGGACCACACCUGCUAAUUAACUCGCUUGCACUUUCGUCCUUGCUUCAUACAAAAGGUUGCAACACGAGUU
rnacentral:lncRNA from 1 species